CUGUAGCCAAUUAAUGAGGCCCCUCCACUUGUGAAGCCAUGUAUCCAGCUCCUUCUUUGUGAGGCCUGGUACACUGUGGCUGCAGGCAACAGCAUCCUUGGUGGUACACAGAGCCUGCUGAGUCAUGAGUUACCCUUAGGGACCUUAGAGCUUUCC
rnacentral:snoRNA from 1 species